AUUGAACGCUGGCGGCAGGCCUAACACAUGCAAGUCGAACGGUAACAGGAAACAGCUUGCUGUUUCGCUGACGAGUGGCGGACGGGUGAGUAAUGUCUGGGAAACUGCCUGAUGGAGGGGGAUAACUACUGGAAACGGUAGCUAAUACCGCAUAACGUCGCAAGACCAAAGAGGGGGACCUUCGGGCCUCUUGCCAUCGGAUGUGCCCAGAUGGGAUUAGCUAGGAGGUGGGGUAACGGCUCACCUAGGCGACGAUCCCUAGCUGGUCUGAGAGGAUGGCCAGCCACACUGGAACUGAGGCACGGUGCAGACUCCGACGGGAGGCAGCAGUGGGGAAUAUUGCACAAUGGGCGCAAGCCUGAUGCAGCCAUGCCGCGUGUAUGAAGAAGGCCCUCGGGUUGUAAAGUACUUUCAGCGGGGAGGAAGGGAGCAAAGUUAAUACCUUUGCUCAUUGACGUUACCCGCAGAAGAAGCACCGGCUAACUCCGUGCCAGCCGCCGCGGUAA
rnacentral:rRNA from 1 species